rnacentral:rRNA from 1 species
AAAGAGCAAUUGGAGGAUGCCUUGGCACACAGAGGCGAAGAAAGACGCAGCAACCGGCGAAAACGCUACGGGGAGUUGGAAGCAAGCAUUGAUCCGUAGAUAUCUGAAUGGGGCAACCCAACGGGAGUCAUGUCCCGUUACUCCGCAAGGAGGGCAAAACCCCGGGGAAGUGAAACAUCUCAGUACCCGGAGGAAGAGAAAACAAACGUGAUUCCCUUAGUAGUGGCGAGCGAAAAGGGAAAAGUCCAAACCGGUGUCCAAUGGGCAUCGGGGUUGUAGGGCGCUCAAUAAAGUGUAUGAUAACUGAUAGCAGAAUUGACCUGGAAAGUCAAGCCAUAGAAGGUGAAAGCCCUGUAAGCGAAAUCGGAAGUUGGCAUGAGAGCGUACCUGAGUACCGCGGAGCAGGUGGAAUUCUGCGGGAACCAGCCGGAACCAUCCGGUAAGACUAAAUAACUCCUGUGUGACCGAUAGUGAACCAGUACCGUGAGGGAAAGGUGAAAAGAACCCGUUAA